AAUAAUAUUAGAAAUUGAGUCUCCAAAUUAAUGUAAAUUCUUAAUCACUGCUCAAGCUUGCACAUUAAGGAUUACUUUGAGCGCAAUUUUUUAUAUUACAGUAAAUAAUAAUAUAUUAAAUUAUUGUACAAUAUACAAUAUAUAUAAAGAGUUAUACUAUCAAUCUUUUUCUGAACUGACGAUUCCGAGUCUCGACAUCAAACUCGCGAAACUCAUGUUCGACCGUUAGACGCCGUGCCGUCGUAAGCGGUGAGAUCCCGACGACGGACAGAGGUGCCGUACGGCAAACCGGGCUCGUGCGACGACCGGCCCGCGAGGACCAGCCGCCUAGGUGUGUCACAUUGUUUUGAGCCUUUCGACCGACGAGACUCCUAGAGAUAUCAUCACUAUCUCCUGUACAUUCAUUUAAACUAGUUUAUGCUAAGUGUAUAAUAUUGCAAUCCAAUUGUAUAUGCCUCGACCUUACUCUGUUCAUACCUGCUGUUGUCAUGCCAGCAUGUCUCAUUUAAAAGAUGACAGUGUUUACCACAAAAAGCAGUACUAAAAAAAAAAGAGUAGUCAAGUGGAUAACCAAGUGCUCCUAUAUAGAAAAUUACAUUGUGAUUACAGAAAGAAAAUAUGUUUAGCAACGAGAAAUAUCGCAAUAUGCAUUAUCUUUAUGGACUUUCUGAUGGAAAUGCUGCUGCAGCUGAGAGGAAACAUCAGAUGCGGUGUGACAGCAGAGAUAUGGAUAGAGUACAAUAAACCAUACCGAAUACAAGACAA